rnacentral:rRNA from 1 species
UUAAAUGAAGAAGAGCGUACGGCGGAUGUCUUGGCAUAUAGAGCAGAAGAAGGACGCAGCGAACGGCGAAACGCCGCGGGGAGCCGUAAACAGGCAACGAUCCGCGGGUAUCCGAAUGGGGGAACCCGGCACCCGUAACGGGGUGUCAUCAUCAGUUGAAUACAUAGGCUGAUGAGUAAAACCCGGCGAAUUGAAACAUCUUAGUAGCCGGAGGAGAAGAAAACAAACGUAAUUCCGGGAGUAGUGGCGAGCGAAACCGGAGGAGCCCAAACCGAUCUAAGGGUCGGGGUAGAAGGACCGCAAUAAAGAGACUGAUUGAGCCAGCCGAAUGAGAUUGAAAGCUCAGCCGCAGGAGGUGCAAGCCCUGUAGGCGAAGGCGAGAGAGGCUCGAGCGGGAUCCUGAGUACGUCGGGGCACGUGGAAUCCUGACGGAAGCAGCCGGAACCAUCCGGCAAGGCUAAAUACUCCUAUAUGACCGAUAGUGCACCAGUACCAUGAGGGAAAGAUGAAAAGAACCGCGGGAGCGGAGUGAAACAGAUCCUGAAACCGUAUGCUUACAAAAAGUCAGAGCACAUUGAUGUGUGAUGGCGUGCCUUUUGUAGAAUGAACCGGCGAGUUAUCCUUGCAUGCGAGGUUAAGCAGACAAUGCGGAGCCGCAGCGAAAGCGAAUCUGAACAGGGUGAGCAGUAUGCAGGGAUAGACCCGAAGCUGUAGUGAUCUAGUCAUGAGCAGGUUGAAGGAUGGGUGAAACCAUCUGGAGGACCGAACCGACCCCCGUUGAAACGUUGGCGGAUGACUUGUGAUUAGCGGAGAAAUUCCAAUCGAACACAGCGAUAGCUGGUUCUCCCCGAAAUAGCUUUAGGGCUAGCGUGGGGUGAAGAGAUGCGGAGGUAGAGCACUGAAAUCACGCGGGUGGCACCUAGCCAUACCAACUGAUAUCAAACUCCGAAUGCCGUAUUUUAGUACCCUGCAGUCAGACUGCGAGUGAUAAGGUCCGUGGUCAAAAGGGAAACAGCCCGUAAUCAACAGAUAAGGUCCCAAAAUCUGCGCUAAGUGGAAAAGGAUGUGGAGACGCGUAAACAGCUAGGAGGUUAGCUCAGAAGCAGCGACCCUUGAAAGAGUGCGUAACAGCUCACUAGUCGAGUAUCUCUGCGCCGAAAAUUAACCGGGGCUAAGCGCAGUACCGAAUCUUUGGAUUCGUACUGAAAAGUAUGAGUGGUAGGGGAGCGUUCCAUGGAGCGUUGAAGCCAUACCGUAAGGAGUGGUGGAGCGCAUGGAAGUGAGAAUGCCGGUGUGAGUAGCGAGAAAUCAGUGAGAAUCUGAUUCAGCGUAAGUCCAAGGUUUCCAGGGGAAGGUUCGUCCUCCCUGGGUAAGCCGGGAACUAAGGCGAGGCCGAAAGGCGUAGUCGAUGAACAGCAGGUUGAUAUUCCUGCGCACGGUUGAUGAGUGAAGGAGUGACAGAGAAGGGAAGCGUGAGCCCUGAAUGGAUUGGGCAGGACGUGCAUAUAGAAGGCUGGCAGGGAAAUCCGUCAGCGGAAUUCAAAGCACGGACCGAGUGAACGGGGAGACCCAAGUAGCGAAGAGCGUGGACCCAGCUCUCAAGAAAAGCUUCUGGCGUUAAUCAUCAAUUGUCCCGUACCAAAACCGACACAGGUGGACGAGGCGAAUAGCCUAAGCUGAGCGAGAGAACUGUUGCCAAGGAACUCGGCAAAUUGACCCCGUACGUUAGCUAGAAGGGGUACUCGAAAGAGUCGCAGAAAAAAGGCCCUAGCAACUGUUUAACUAAAACACAGCUCUCUGCCAAGCCGCAAGGCGAAGUAUAGGGGGUGACACCUGCCCGGUGCUGGAAGGUCAAAAGGAAGUGUCCGGAGCAAUCCAAAGCACAGAAUUGAAGCCCCAGUGAACGGCGGCCGUAACUAUAACGGUCCUAAGGUAGCGAAAUUCCUUGUCAGGUAAGUUCUGACCCGCACGAAAGGUGUAAUGAUUUGGGCACUGUCUCGGCAGCAGACUCGGUGAAAUCUUAGUACCUGUGAAGAUGCAGGUUACCCGCAACUAGACGGAGAGACCCCAUGGAGCUUUACUGCAGUCUGCUAUUGAGUUUCGGUUAAAUAUGCACAGGAUAGGUGGGAGACUAAGAGGCUGGAUCUUUGGAUUCAUCGGAGUCAAUGUUGGGAUACCACUCUUAUUUAAUUGAAAUUCUAACCGUAUGCCGUAAACCGGGUACGGGACCGUGGCAGAUGGGCAGUUUGACUGGGGCGGUCGCCUCCCAAAGAGUAACGGAGGCGCUCAAAGGUACUCUCAGAAUGGUUGGAAAUCAUUCAUCGAGCGUAAAUGCAGAAGAGUGCUUGACUGCGAGACAAACAGGUCGAGCAGGGACGAAAGUCGGAAUUAGUGAUCCGGCGGUGCAGAAUGGAAUGGCCGUCGCUUAACGGAUAAAAGCUACCCUGGGGAUAACAGGCUGAUCUCCCCCAAGAGUUCACAUCGACGGGGAGGUUUGGCACCUCGAUGUCGGCUCAUCGCAUCCUGGAGGUGAAUUCGCUUCCAAGGGUUGGGCUGUCCGCCCAUUAAAGCGGUACGCGAGCUGGGUUCAAAACGUCGUGAGACAGUUUGGUCCCUAUCUGUUGUGGGCGUUGGAAGUUUGAGGAGAGCUGUCCCUAGUACGAGAGGACCAGGAUGGACAUUCCUACGGUGUACCGGUUGUCGCGCCAGCGGCAUGGCCGGGUAGCUGAGAAUGGAUCGGAUAAACGCUGAAGGCAUCUAAGCGUGAAACCGGCUCCAAGAUGAGACUUCCCCUUCCUUGAGAAGAUAAGAUCCCUCGAAGACGACGAGGUUGAUAGGUCAGGGGUGUAAGUGCCGUGAGGCAUUGAGCUGACUGAUACUAAUUGAUCGAAGAUUUAUUCAC